rnacentral:rRNA from 1 species
GACGAACGCUGGCGGCGUGCUUAACACAUGCAAGUCGAACGGAAAGGCCCUGCUUUUGUGGGGUGCUCGAGUGGCGAACGGGUGAGUAACACGUGAGUAACCUGCCCUUGACUUUGGGAUAACUUCAGGAAACUGGGGCUAAUACCGGAUAGGAGCUCCUGCUGCAUGGUGGGGGUUGGAAAGUUUCGGCGGUUGGGGAUGGACUCGCGGCUUAUCAGCUUGUUGGUGGGGUAGUGGCUUACCAAGGCUUUGACGGGUAGCCGGCCUGAGAGGGUGACCGGCCACAUUGGGACGGAGAGACGGCCCAGACUCCUACGGGAGGCAGCAGGGGGGAAUAUUGCACAAUGGGCGGAAGCCUGAUGCAGCAACGCCGCGUGCGGGAUGACGGCCUGCGGGUUGUAAACCGCUUUCGCCUGUGACGAAGCGUGAGUGACGGUAAUGGGUAAAGAAGCACCGGCUAACUACGU